GACGAACGCUGGCGGCGUGCUUAACACAUGCAAGUCGAACGGGCCCGCCCCUGUUUUUGGGGGUGGGUUGAGUGGCGAACGGGUGAGUAUCCCGUGAGUAACCUGCCCCCUGCUCCUGGAUAACUGCUUGAAAGGGCGGCUAAUACGGGGUGUGCCGGCUGGUCCGCAUGGGCCUGGUCGGGAUAGUUUCAUCUUCGGGUGUUUCGGCGGGGGAUGGGCUCGCGGCCUAUCAGCUUGUUGGUGGGGUAGUUGCCCACCAAGGCGGUGACGGGUAGCCGGCCUGAGGGGGUGCGGGGCCGAACUGGGGACGGGACACGGCGCGGACGCGUGCGGGAGGCAGCAGUGGGGGGUGUUGCACGGUGGGAGGAAGCCUGAUGCGGCGGCGUCGCGUGGGGGAUGGAGGGCUUCGGGUAGGGAGCCUCUUUCUCCGGUGGUGAAGGCCCUGUCCGAUGAGGCGGGGUUGACGGUAGCCGGGAAUGAAGCGCCGGCUAACUACGUG
rnacentral:rRNA from 1 species